CCUACGGGAGGCAGCAGUGGGGAAUAUUGCACAAUGGGCGAAACCCUGAUGCAGCGACGCCGCGUGAGUGAAGAAGUAAUUCGUUAUGUAAAGCUCUAUCAGCAGGGAAGAAAAUGACGGUACCUGAGUCAGAAGCCCCGGCUAACUACGUGCCAGCAGCCGCGGUAAUACGUCGGGGGCAAGCGUUAUCCGGAUUUACUGGGUGUAAAGGGCGCGUAGACGGCAGUGCAAGUCUGGAGUGAAAGGCGGAGGCUCAACCCCCGGACUGCUCUGGAAACUGUACGGCUGGAGUGCAGGAGAGGUAAGUGGAAUUCCUAGUGUAGCGGUGAAAUGCGUAGAUAUUAGGAGGAACACCAGUGGCGAAGGCGGCUUACUGGACUGUAACUGACGUUGAGGCUCGAAAGCGUGGGGAGCAAACAGGAUUAGAUACCCGAGUAGUC
rnacentral:rRNA from 1 species